rnacentral:rRNA from 1 species
UACGGAGGGUGCGAGCGUUGUCCGGAAUCAUUGGGCGUAAAGCGCACGUAGGCGGUCUUUUAAGUCUCAUGGUGAAAGGCUGGGGCUCAACCCCAUGCAUGCCGGGGAUACUGGGAGACUGGAGACAGGCAGAGGCCAGCGGAAUUCCGGGUGUAGCGGUGGAAUGCGUAGAGAUCCGGAAGAACACCGGAGGCGAAGGCGGCUGGACUGGGC